GUGCUCGCUUUGGCAGCACAUAUAGUAAAAAUGGAACGAUACAAAGAUAAGCAUGACACCUGUGCAAGGAUGACAUUCAAAAUUGUUUUGAAUGUCAUUCCUUAUUUUU
ensembl:snRNA U6 U6 spliceosomal RNA